GACGAACGCUGGCGGCGUGCUUAACACAUGCAAGUCGAACGAUGAAGCCGGAGCUUGCUCUGGUGAAUUAGUGGCGAACGGGUGAGUAACACGUGAGUAACCUGCCCUUGACUCUGGGAUAACUGCGGGAAACUGUAGCUAAUACCGGAUACGACCCUCGGAGGCAUCUCCUGGGGGUGGAAAGAAUUUCGGUCAAGGAUGGACUCGCGGCCUAUCAGCUAGUUGGUGAGGUAAAGGCUCACCAAGGCGACGACGGGUAGCCGGCCUGAGAGGGUGACCGGCCACACUGGGACUGAGACACGGCCCAGACUCCUACGGGAGGCAGCAGUGGGGAAUAUUGCACAGUGGGCGCAAGCCUGAUGCAGCAACGUCGCGUGAGGGAUGACGGCCUUCGGGUUGUAAACCUCUUUUAGCAGGGAAGAAGCGAGAGUGACGGUACCUGCAGAAAAAGCACCGGCUAACUACGUGCCAGCCGCCGCCGUAA
rnacentral:rRNA from 1 species